rnacentral:rRNA from 1 species
GACGAACGCUGGCGGCGUGCUUAACACAUGCAAGUCGAACGGAAAGGCCUGCAGCUUGCUGCGGGUACUCGAGUGGCGAACGGGUGAGUAACACGUGGGUGAUCUGCCUUGCACUUCGGGAUAAGCUUGGGAAACUGGGUCUAUACCGGAUAGGACAGCUGUUUAGUGUCAGUUGUGGAAAGUUUUUUCGGUGCAAGAUGAGCUCGCGGCCUAUCAGCUUGUUGGUGGGGUAAUGGCCUACCAAGGCGUCGACGGGUAGCCGGCCUGAGAGGGUGUACGGCCACAUUGGGACUGAGAUACGGCCCAGACUCCUACGGGAGGCAGCAGUGGGGAAUAUUGCACAAUGGGCGGAAGCCUGAUGCAGCGACGCCGCGUGGGGGAUGAAGGCCUUCGGGUUGUAAACUCCUUUCGACAGGGACGAAGCGUAAGUGACGGUACCUGUAUAAGAAGCACCGGCUAACUACGUGCCAGCAGCCGCGGUAAUACGUAGGGUGCGAGCGUUGUCCGGAAUUACUGGGCGUAAAGAGCUCGUAGGUGGUUUGUCGCGUCGUCUGUGAAAUUCCGGGGCUUAACUCCGGGCGUGCAGGCGAUACGGGCUGACUUGAGUGCUGUAGGGGAGACUGGAAUUCCUGGUGUAGCGGUGAAAUGCGCAGAUAUCAGGAGGAACACCGAUGGCGAAGGCAGGUCUCUGGGCAGUAACUGACGCUGAGGAGCGAAAGCAUGGGUAGCGAACAGGAUUAGAUACCCUGGUAGUCCAUGCCGUAAACGGUGGGCGCUAGGUGUAGGGGGCUUCCACGUCUUCUGUGCCGUAGCUAACGCAUUAAGCGCCCCGCCUGGGGAGUACGGCCGCAAGGCUA